CGAGCCUGCCAGGAUUCAAACCUGGAAUCUUCUUAUCCGUAGUCAGACGCGUUAUCUGUUGCGCCACAGGUCC
rnacentral:tRNA from 1 species